UACGUAGGCAGCGAGCGUUGUUCGGAAUUACUGGGCGUAAAGAGUGUGUAGGCGGUGUUCCAAGUCUGGUGUGAAAUCUCCCGGCUUAACUGGGAGGGUGCGCCAGAAACUGGAAUGCUCGAGGGUGGGAGAGGUAAGCGGAAUUCCCGGUGUAGUGGUGAAAUGCGUAGAUAUCGGGAGGAACACCAGUGGCGAAGGCGGCUUCUGGCCUGCUCUUGACGCUGAGGCGCGAAAGCUAGGGUAGCAAACGGG
rnacentral:rRNA from 1 species